UACAGAGGUCUCAAGCGUUGUUCGGAUUCAUUGGGCGUAAAGGGUGCGUAGGCGGCGCGGUAAGUCAGGGGUGAAAUCCUGGAGCUCAACUCCAGAACUGCCUUUGAUACUGGCGACCUUGAGUCCGGGAGAGGUGAGUGGAACUGCGAGUGUAGAGGUGAAAUUCGUAGAUAUUCGCAAGAACACCAGUGGCGAAGGCGGCUCACUGGCCCGGUACUGACGCUGAGGUGCGAAAGCGUGGGGAGCAAACAGG
rnacentral:rRNA from 1 species